UACGUAGGGGGCAAGCGUUGUCCGGAUUUAUUGGGCGUAAAGAGCGUGUAGGCGGCCUGACAGGUCUGCUGUGAAAACUCGGAGGCUCAACCUCGAGAUGUCGGCGGAAACCGUCUGGCUAGAGUCCGGAAGAGGAGAGUGGAAUUCCUGGUGUAGCGGUGAAAUGCGCAGAUAUCAGGAAGAACACCUAUGGCGAAGGCAGCUCUCUGGGACGGUACUGACGCGAGACGCGAAAGCGUGGGGAGCGAACAGG
rnacentral:rRNA from 1 species